rnacentral:lncRNA from 1 species
GUCCUGACCUUGUAGCAAACUGAGGCUGUGUCUCUGACUAAUGAAGCAAUCUAACAAGGUGAAUAGGAGAACGAAACUGAAGACCCAGUAUCACACUUAUAAAUUUGAAAAACAAUUUGAAAAUUUCUCCAGAAUAUUUCUUUUUCUUUUUAAUGCCUUUAGUUAAAUUUCUCUAAUUUUUAGUGCUUUAUUCUUUGCUAUCGAGAGGGUUUGUACGUUAUAUCUGUGAGUAGAUUUUUAUGGGGGCAGUGUCAUGUUUGUUUAGUGCCUACAAUCAGUUCCUGGUAUUUAAUGAACUCUGUAAUAAAUUACUGGAUAAGAGAAAAUUUUUAUUACAAAUAAAUGCUCUCUGAAUUAUUGUGGGAGUUUGUUCAUACCCCUCAGUCUGAAUUUUAAACACACACUAGAGCAUCUUAGGUGUUCACAAUUCUAAAUUUCAGUUUCCUCUAUUCAUACUUCUCAAUGUGUUUUAAAAUUAUUUUUUUUACAGGCAAAAAGCUUAGCUAACCAUCCUUCUCCUUUUGUGAGAUUCACAACUUUCUUCAAAUCUUUUGUUUUUAUUUUUAGAGGUAAUUUAACAUAUCAUAUAACUUGUAAGUAUCAGGCCAAAUCAUCCGUCUUGUUUCAGUUUAGAAAAAUGUUAGCAUCAAGUUCCCUUGCUGCCAAAGCAUAGAUUUCAUGCUGUUCCAUCAUCCUUCCUACCAAGGGGAGAAUAUGUGCUCCAUUGCCAACACUCCACCGGGACUCUUGACAAAGGAAUUUUAUUAUGCCCACUUUCAAAUGGAUGCAGGGAAACUCUUGCCAGGAGCAUGGCAGUGGCUACUGUUCAUACCCCAGGAUUGCUGUGUGGUCAGGUCAGGACUUUUUUCUUAAUACUUGCUGGGUCAGACUUUCUUGUGGGUUUGUAUGUGGGAGGUAAGGCAGACACUGUUUGUCAAGGAUAGGCCCUCUGCCUCUUGUGUAGGAAGAUUACUGCCACGUGAGGGUAGGGCAGGAGCCCAGGGGCUAUCCCAGAGCCUGAGCCUUUGGAUAAUUUGCUCCCUCUCCUGUGUGCAAAUAGGCUUGCACUAGAGCAAGAGAAUUGUAUUCCUGGAAUGGGUACCUCACUGCCCGUUUUGUACUCCGAGGUUGAAAGUCAAGCAUCUUUGGAUGUUGCAUUAAGUCAUGUAUUGUAACCAGAUUGCCAGAAGGAACCCAACCAUUGAAAAGAUUCCCCAACUUACCUGUGUAUUGAAGGCUACCAAUCUAAGGUAGCAGUGAAUGUUCCAUCAAAUCUAGUCAUCCUUUCUUGGGCAUACAUCUCAUUAACUAAUACCACUAAUUCAGUGUGAAUUGUAUGUUCCCAUCAAAACUGAAAAGAACCCACUGGUGGUAUUCUUCAGGGGAUGGUCAGAGUCCAAAUCCAUGCCAGAAAUACCCCAUACAUGUGGUGAAGACUACCAGAUUAAAGAUCUUCAAUUCCAACUUCAAAGGAGUAGCCAUGUUAAAUAUAGGUUUAAUACCUGCAAGUAGAUUUAAUACAGAGAUAAUUAUAUAUAAUAAUUAUUGCUGAGAGUUACUUUUUACAGAAUAGCUACUUAAUAAACUCAGCAGUUUAACUGGAUCAAACGUAGCAACUAUUUAGAUAUGAAGAUAAUCACCCUCCUGGUUGGAAAAUCAAAACGUUUAGUUUGGGAACUUAAGAAUCAUACGCCAGGAGUGAAAAGUAUCUCUUUAGCAUAGUAAUCAGAAAGUUGUCAUUGUCCUUGUGACCAGCGCUUCCAUCCCUAGGUGAUUUGAUUUUAAAAGGGUACUGAUAAUCAGAUAGACACUGCUUUACUCGAAGAAUCUUGAAAUUAAGAGGUGGCCGUGUUGAGGAUUUCUGCUGCUAGGUAGAGAAUAAUUUUCUCUGCCUUUGCAUUAUUCAUUUCACGUAAAUUUUGAUAGAGUUCAUCACUGUGACUAUUAUUUCAUUUACCACAUUUUAUGGGUUUAUAGCACAAUUUCCACAGUAGGAUCUUUUUUCUUUUUCCAUGUUAACAUAAAUAUGUGUAUUCCUGAUGGAAAAAGGAGCCUAUUUAGAAGGAAGUGAUUGACAUAUAUCACCCUAGCUCACUGCUUUCAGAACUUAAUGCAGGAUGACCAUCCUCUCCAAAAUGUCUAGAAGUAGGCUUUUUAGGUCACAAUAUUUAUGUACCAUAUAAUUAUGCACCUGCAGCAAUUAACACCUACUGCAUACACCAGGCAGCAUACAGAUGAUUUUCUAUGCUCACAACUACGCUGUGAAAUGAGAAUGUAGAUUCCUCAGUUUUACGACUGAGAUUCUCAGGUUCACUGCUUUCCUCUUUAUACCACUAGUGUAAUGGAAGAGCCAGGAUUCUCAACCAGGGAUUCUCUGAUUGUAGAGCCCAUGUUCUUUUUACAGCCACAUACACUUCAAGGAAUUCAUCCUCUUUGAAAGAAAUCUGGGGCUUAGAAAAGACCAGAAUGAGGAUAUGCACAGUGGGCGUAUGUUCCACGGCACCCUGCAGGCCUGCAGACCUUGUAGUGGCCCAGCCUCGAGACUGAAGAAAGAGCUCAGAGACAGUGACAGAGACAUCAAUGGUUUAUUGGACAGAGGAUCUUCUUACAAGUCUGAAGCAAUGGGUCCUGGAGUAAUGCCUCAUCACGUACAGUGGACGACAGGCAGAACAGAACAGCAAUCUUUGCUACUCAAGGGAGAAGGAGGCUACACUUUAGAGGGAGUUUCCAUCAGUUGGAUCAUCAGUUACCAGGGAAACCAGCAGCUGGGUCACGUCCCUUACAGCCCCUCAGAUUAACAUCCAUCCCUAGGGCAGAUGUUUCCCUUUAGUAAACUAGCAGGUGGAGCCUUUCUGGCCUAAGGAUUAGAAACAUCACUGGCUGGAGCAGAGUGUAGGUGAAGCAGGGACUGGUGGAGCAGGGGAUGUACAGAGAACAAGAGAACAGUCAUCUUGAGUGGCCUGGCCAUACAGCCUGACUCUCACAGUAACCUGAAACUGCUCCAUGAGCACCUUUGGACCUCCCACAACUUGUGUGGUUUUGUAGACUCCUAAAACUAUAGCCCUGGAAACAGUUCCCACAAUUCCCAAGUGGUCAUCCAGCCUGUGUCUGGAUGCUGCCUGGAUUCUCUUGAGGCAGUGUGUCCUCUUCUUGGAAUAGCACCACCCAUAGAAAGAUCUUCAUAUUCAGCUAAACUCCAUCUCCUGAUGCUUCCAUGUAGAAUAAGGCUAACACACCUUCUGCAUAACAGUCCUUGAGAUACUUAAAGAGGAUUUCAAAUCCUCGCUUUUUUCCCCCAAGCAGUCCGAGUGCUUUUGGCUGAGCUCUAUAGGACAUGGUUAUCUCUCCCCUGUGAUUCUAUAUUCUCUUCCUUGAAUACUGUGCAGUCUUACAAGACAGCACUAAAAAUCCAAGCACAAGACAUCCAAGAAUGAUUUAACCAGUACAUACUAGAGUGGCACUGCCACCUAGGAUCUUAGAGGUUGUACAUCUAAGGUUACAUUUGGCAGCCACAUGAAGUGUUGUGAUUUAAUGAUAGCUGAGCCCCCUUCACACUAUCCUCUCACCUCAACAAAUGCAAGUCUCAGUUUCCAGCAAAACUUGAGAAUUCUGAAAUAUUCUCAUAGUUUCAGGAAAGAACCCUAAGGAAGAGAGUCAAUGUGCACAAGUUUUUUUCCAAGAAAACAGGUGAGAAGAUGGAGGGGCAGUUUUUAGCAUAGCAGGUUUUUGUCUUUACUCUGACACUCUGCACUUGUGCCAGAGUCUUAGGAGGGCUAAGGUAUGGAGUGACUGGUCAGAAGUAAAUGUAUAGAAAUGGUAUUUCCCAAAUGUCUGUGAGAUUUUAAGAGACAGAAGGAAGUGCUUCUGACAGACUCAGGUUCCAGUGUGGAAGUCAUUGAUUUUGCUCAUCUCUUAGUUCUUACAGUACCCUGGAACAUAAUUCACCAUGGCCAGGAUGAAUCUGCUGUACACAGGAGUGAUCCUUCUAACCUGCCAUGUCCAUAGUUAUGUGAGAAUCUAGGAUGGAGCUGAAAGAACUGUAUCUUCCUGGAUCAUACCCAAAAGGUCUCUAAGUGCACUGAUGACAGGAAAAUCUUCAGUGGUUCCAGAGACAAGCUGCUGGAAAUCCUGCACAUUUAUUUUCUAGAAGGAAAUGAGCUGAUGAGGAAUAAUCCCUUCAGAGAUCCUCCCUUUAAAAAACCUUAAAGGACUCCAAAUUAAAGCAUAGCCAUUUCUGGGACCCUAAAGUGACUCAAAAAAAGGAAACAUCACUUACUUAAUGUUAGGUGAAUUUCAAAAGCCUUAAUAAGGGGAGAGCAAAGGUAGGGAGAAAGAUGGUGAAUAAAUUGUGAGAACCUACCAAGUAAAGAAAUAUCUUUUAAAUUCCACGCAUCAUGUUUUAUUUCACUUUGUAUUUCAAUUAAAAAAGGAAAAAUAUGCAUUUUAAAAAGAUAUAUUUUUUGCUAUUAAUAUUAGCACUUAAUGUCUGAGUACAGAUCCAUCAUUCAUUAGGUCUACAGUAGCCCACAGCCCUAAUUUAUAAAUUCAUAAUCACAAGUCAGAUCAACUCAAUUGCUCAAGGCUGUGUAUUUGCAAGUUAGAGUAUACACUGCAAAUUUCCUGUCUUUGGGCCGGUAUACUGAGCAAUGGUACUUUUUAAAAAGAAUUUGCUCAUAUCUUAGAUUUAACAGAGUUGAAAAUGUUUAACCAAUAUCACUCAUGUAAUAUAAAGUGUAAAUUUAAGCAGUGUUCUAGAAAAUUCAAGGCAAAGUAGUUUAAACCAUUUGGCUCUUCCUAGAGGUUCUGAUUUUUUUUUUUAACCUGAAAAAGUAGGUAAUUACUCGAUAGCCUUAGCUCUAAAAUAUAUCUGACAGGUUAUUUUUAUUUGUUUGGUUUUCAGAAAUCAUAUCCAUGUUUUCUACUCUCUGUAGUCUUAGCAAAAUGAAUCAAAGCCACUCUGUAUCCAAAGGUAACACUAUGGUUGUCUUUUUUUUUUUUUUUUUUUUUAACAUUGCAGGCUUUACCUCAAGUGCUAUGCAGUAAAUUUACAGGGAAAGAAAUAUUUUAUUAAAUUAUAACUGAGAGGAGCGGAUUUUUUUUAUAUAGCAAACAAAAAAUUCCUUCAUGAAAGGUUAUAAAACCGAUAUUAUUUACCAGAGAGACCUUUCCUGUCUCCCAGGUAAACACUUACAGUGUGUAGACUUGUGUAAAUACAUAUUUAGGAGUGGCUAAAUAUGGCGAGGUAUUUUUAAAGCCAUAUUUACAAAGCUGAAUACAUAUAUUGGCAUUUUGGAAUGUGUAAGCUGGGCAUGCUGCUCUGCUGUCUAUUCAGAAUUCUAGCAGGACGCUGCUAGAUACACCUCAGAUAUGGGGACCGAAUUUCAAAACAUUCAUCUUUAAUCAGAAUUACUAAAGACAGGUCCUUAAAUCAUUUCAAAAGUGUGAAAAUUUUCAACUAAUGGAGUUCAAGACUUUCUCACCAGUUUGACUUGAGGAAAAUUGUUUCAGAAAUGCAGGCGUCAUUCAUGGAAAUAAAAUUUCUUUUCUGAA